GAGGAUGCGAGCGUUAUCCGGAUUUAUUGGGUUUAAAGGGUGCGCAGGCGGACCGUCAAGUCAGCGGUAAAAUGUCGGGGCUCAACCCCGGCCGGCCGUUGAAACUGGCGGACUUGAGUUGGAGAGAAGUAUGCGGAAUUCGUGGUGUAGCGGUGACAUGCAUAGAUAUCACGAAGAACUCCGAUUGCGAAGGCAGCAUACCGGCUCCACACUGACGCUGAGGCACGAAAGCGUGGGUAGCGAA
rnacentral:rRNA from 1 species